rnacentral:lncRNA from 7 species
GUAAUAUGAAACAUACAAGGUGUCAUGGAAUAAUAUAAAGUCUCCAAAAGGAAAAACUGGCGGUGGAAGGCGGUCCCAUUCCGCGUUGGCCAGUGAAAAGGCGGCGCGUGGGCGUGGUGGUGGCGGGUACUCAUUCCCCGCGCGCGGCAAAGUUCGUUAAUCCUCCGCCCCCGUGGAGCUUCGUUUUAAACAACAAGGCUCGUUCUUCUCCUUUGCUGGUUGCUGCUACUACUCCUUCUGACCGCACGCGGCACGCGGCACGCGCGCACGCACACGACACUUGACCGGUCUUGGGUCUCUUUCGUACAUGCGGACCAGACCAUCAGCAGAUGCAUGCGGAUUCACCGCCUCACAGACCAGGAGCCGGAUGCCCGCUUGUAAAAAAAAGAAAAAAAAAGAAAAGGAAAGGAAAACCCAACGACAACACACGGCGCGGCACUGUACUGUGUGAUUGCGCUGACAG